GUCCACGUGACGAGUCCGAAGUAGGACGAAACGCGUGUCCUGGAU
rnacentral:hammerhead_ribozyme from 1 species